rnacentral:lncRNA from 1 species
GUCUCAUUCAUGCUACAGUCACACCAGGACAACAACUCCAACAUACAGCAAGUAGGUAUUCAGCCAUGAAAUUGGUUGUGCCAUUGUGUGCUCAUGUUCUCAUUCUCUUCUUUUAUAUCUCUGAAAACCAUUUUUUUUUUUUUUUUUUACUAAAAUACUUAUAUGUUAAAGAGGAGCUAGGCUGCCAAUGCACUCCAACCACUUGCUAAUCCUGUUGUCUGACCUGUGUUCUCUUGUUUUGUAUACUCCUGUCUUAUCAUUUUUUUGCCUUCUACUUAGGGAGCAAAUUUCUGGGCCAGGGAACUUUUUUUUUUGUAGGACACCUAAUUCUUCAUGUCCCUAGUCUAUGAGCAGUUCCUGGCACUGUAUUUAUACAGAUUAUAGAUAAUCUGUCAUAUGACCUUAUAUAAUGCAUUCUAAUAUACUUAAACUGGGGGAGCAUUUUGUAAGUUAUAUGUAGGAGCCUCAUCAUCAAAUCCUAUUUGUUUUUUGGAUUUCUGUUCUAAUUCCCAUGAAUCCCUUUGUAAAUGUCCUUUUCUUCACAGACUAAUGUCAAACAAAUUUUCUGAUUGCUGGGUAUUGUUUCUCCUGGAACAUGUUGGAUACCUCUGAGUCUCAGCAACCUGCGAGGAAGGGAAAUGGUUGGUCAAUGGAAACGCAGCAUUUGGAAAGGUUAGUGUGGUUAGUCAGACCUGGGUUUUGUUCUGCCUGCUUGCUAAAUCAAGCAUGGAGAUUUUUUUUUUCCUGUUUUAUCCUUAUGAAUCAAAUUUGAAAAAGACCAAACCCAGGACCAGCACAAAUCAGUCAGUGCGGUUAUGGCUGUAACAAGAAGGAUAAAUAGUGAUGGAUGCUUUUUUUCUCUGCUUUGUAUUUCAGGUGUGUGUUUGCUACUAAUUAAAACUCAUCGCCUGGGCUCCAGCUGGUGGCAUUACAAAUGGGAGGAGGGCUCCUGCAGCACGGUAGCUAAGGUAAUGUCUGUUUGAAUUUGAAAUGUUCAACCUAUUUCAGAUACCAGAUAAAGUAUUUUAUAGCAUAUGAUCAUUGGGAACACUUGAAAGUGACUUUCCACAUGUCAGAACACUCUUUCAGUGCAUUGAAAGAGACAUUAAAAUGAACGGGAAUGCCCUGGGCACCCCUGCUGACCUGCCUCAGAGCCACGCACAGGAUGGCUGCUGAAGCAAACAGGUACCAGAGUCCUGGCUUUUGUCAAACUAGAAGACAUGCCCCCCGUCCCUGAGUGCUGUUAGUGGAUACUGGUGACUGAAAGAUGCUGGUGAUGAAAGCUUGGCUGUCUCUCUCUGUCCCCAUCAGCUGCAGGAAGGCAAGGUGGUUGCUUCUCAAGUGGGCAGGGCUGGGGCGAUCCCUUCUCAGCCCCUAGUGUGUGGGGGGACAGACGGGUGGGUGAGGUGUGGGACCGCUCUCCUCCCACCUAAUUCUGCAACCUGGCUUUGUGCUGCUCUGGGCAUGUCCCAGUGCUCCUCUGGC